UGCAAGUCUAAGUAUAAGCAAUUUAUACAGCGAAACUGCAGAUGGCUCAUUAAAACAGUAAUCGUUUAUUUGAUGGACAAAUCCACAUGGAUACCUGUGGGAAUUCCAGAGCUAAUACAUGCAAGAAGUCCCAACUCACGAAGGGAUGUAUUUGUUAGACUAAACACCAAUGCCUUUCGAGGCUUUAGUGAUUUAUAGCAACUAGCGAACCGUAUGGCCUUGAGUCGACGGUGCUUCAUUCAAAUUUCUGCCCUAUCAGCUUUCGAAGGUAGGAUAUGGGCUUACCUUGGCUUUAACGGGUGACGGAGAAUUAGGGUUCGGUUCCGGAGAGGGAGCCUGAGAAACGGCUACCACAUCCAAGGAAGGCAGCAGGCGCGCAAAUUACCCACUCCUGACACAGGGAGGUAGUGACAAGAAAUAACAAUAGACGGGCUUAUUGGUUUGUCUAAUUGGAAUGAGAACAAUGUAAAAAACUUAACGAGGAUCCAUUGGAGGGCAAGUCUGGUGCCAGCAGCCGCGGUAAUUCCAGCUCCAAUAGCGUAUACUAACGUUGUUGCAGUUAAAAAGCUCGUAGUUGGAUUUCUGUUACGAUGAGCCGGCCGGCCCUUCGGGGUUGUAGCUAGGUUUCGUGGUAGCAUCUUGGCGCAAUCGCCGCUGGCAUUCGUUUGUUGGCGUGCGGGACCGCCUCGUUUACUUUGAGAAAAUUAGAGUGUUCAAAGCGGGCUAUCGCCUUGAAUAUAUUAGCAUGGAAUAAUGAUAUAGGACUUUUGGUUCUAUUUUGUUGGUGUUCGAGAACCAAAGUAAUGAUUGAUAGGGACAGUUGGGGGCAUCAGUAUUCUGAAGCGAAAGGUGAAAUUCUUGGACCUUCGGAAGACUAACAGCUGCGAAAGCGUUUGCCUAGGAUGUUCUCUUUAAUCAAGAACGAAG
rnacentral:rRNA from 1 species